rnacentral:rRNA from 1 species
GACGAACGCUGGCGGCGUGCCUAAUACAUGCAAGUAGAACGCUGAAGGAGGAGCUUGCUUCUCCGGAUGAGUUGCGAACGGGUGAGUAACGCGUAGGUAACCUGCCUGGUAGCGGGGGAUAACUAUUGGAAACGAUAGCUAAUACCGCAUAAGAGUAGAUGUCGCAUGACAUUUGCUUAAAAGGUGCAACUGCACCACUACCAGAUGGACCUGCGUUGUAUUAGCUAGUUGGUGAGGUAACGGCUCACCAAGGCAACGAUACAUAGCCGACCUGAGAGGGUGAUCGGCCACACUGGGACUGAGACACGGCCCAGACUCCUACGGGAGGCAGCAGUAGGGAAUCUUCGGCAAUGGACGGAAGUCUGACCGAGCAACGCCGCGUGAGUGAAGAAGGGUUUCGGAUCGUAAAGCUCUGUUGUAAGAGAAGAACGAGUGUGAGAGUGGAAAGUUCACACUGUGACGGUAUCUGACCAGAAAGGGACGGCUAACUACGUG